rnacentral:rRNA from 1 species
GAUGAACGCUGGCGGCGCGCCUAACACAUGCAAGUCGAACGGCACCCCUCUCCGGAGGGGAGCGAGUGGCGAACGGCUGAGUAACACGUGGAGAACCUGCCCCCUCCCCCGGGAUAGCCGCCCGAAAGGACGGGUAAUACCGGAUACCCCGGGGUGCCGCAUGGCACCCCGGCUAAAGCCCCGACGGGAGGGAAUGGCUCCGCGGCCCAUCAGGUAGACGGCGGGGUGACGGCCCACCGUGCCGA